GAGAGAGAGAGAGAGAUUUAGAAAAAGCUGGCAAUAGUAGUGCCAUGAUAUGAGCCUUAAGGACAAUCAAAGUCAUUAAGGCCCCUGAGAAUGGCUACAACA
rnacentral:snoRNA from 1 species